rnacentral:lncRNA from 1 species
GGCAUAGCCCACAUUCUUGUGAAUCACCCACAGUGAUUCCUGCAGUGUUGUCCCCAGCCUCAAGCCUCUCUGCACCGUAAUUGUGCUUCUUUUCCUCAGAUACCUGCCUUGCAUUGGCCCUGGGUAAAUGUUUCCCUUGGCUGUGAAUAGGCAAUUAAAAUUCUGAACCUUUUAUGGCUCUGGAAGCUUAUCCGAUGAAACAAUACUCAUCCAGGCGGAUGGCCCACCAGCGCAAAGGGCUGAGGCCGCUGUAAGCCAAGGUACGCAACGCUUGCUAAACAGGAAUCCCUGGAAUGAAUCCAUGCAUGAGGCCUUUGUGCCAUGUGACAGUUGAAGGCUGUGGUGACCCCGGAACCGUCCCACUCCGAGACGCCUUAACACCGUUUUUCUGCUGUUACAAACCACAGAGCAACGCGUGUGCCUCCUCCCGCCCUGGGGACUCUUUCUGUGGGAGAGGUGCCUGGAUUUAGAGGAGCGACCACUCUUCAUUUGAUCUUGGUCACUUUCCCAGUUGUCACUCGGCCCACAAACUAGGAUGUGAGCAGCAUAUUAAGAAUCUGCAGAGAUGUUCCCGUCUGCCCGGCAUAUGGAUGUCCUUCUGGGCUGCAAAGUGGCAUCCUGUGGGCAACUCCCCCCACAACAACCAGCUGUGAGCUGUGCCCAGGCACAGAGGGACCUGGCUUUCCCUGUUUCUGCAGAUGGAGCCCAGGGUUUCAGGGAGGGAGGGGGCAGGCUGGGACCUGUUGGGGAUCUGGGCACUUUCUCAUGCUCCUUGAGCUGCAAGUCAUAGAAGGAGUGGGGUGGGAGCUGGGAAUGUACCUUCCCAAGGCCACUGGCAGAACCAGCAGGCCCUUUGCUCUGGGAUGAGCUCCCUCUGAGGGGUGGGGACAGUAAAGCGGACCGAAGUCCCUGUUCUGCGGGAUGGAAACUGGCUCCCCUCCAUUGUACAGGCCAGCUCUGGGGAUUUGGGCAGCAGAUUUGGGGUUGACAGCAGAAUGACAUGAUCACCAGUUGACCUUGGCCAGGAUGCCAGCUUACUUUCUCGCUUACUUCUGCAGGUUCUUUGUUCUGCGGGUGAGUCACCCAGGUCCUGCCCUCCGUGCCUGUCUGCCCUCUCCCACUUUCCCUGCCCUGAGCUUGUUCCCACUUGUAGAUUUGGCAGGUCACUGCCAAGGCCCCUAUUCCCCCAACAUGGCCAGUGCCCUAAGGGUGGGUUGUACAGGGAGGAGCUGGCGUGGUCAGUAGACUUGAAUCAGGGACAACUCGGCUGCUGAAGGCUGAGGGGGCCUUGCAGGGCUGCAGGUGCCUUGUGCACACAGGGAGUGGGUAGAGAAGGCAACCAGGGGCUCCUUCAGGCCUUAAUGCUCUGCAGCCCAGUGAGGCUGUGCCCAGAGAGUCUGGCGAGGCCCUGGUCUGCUCCCCCAGCCAAUGGCCUGAUGCUGUUCCAUCUGGGCACCCUGUCACUUUUCGUUCAUCAGGGAGUACAGGGUGAUUCAGGGUCUCAAAUGCAGGUGUUCACAAAAUGAAAUAGAACUUCCCUCUAUCCCCGUGCUUCUUUUUAUUUUUAUAACAAAUAUACAUCGUUAUAUUUUAUUUUUAUAUUUAUGUAUUUUAUAUAUAUGUGACAUCUACUACAUGACAGAAAAUAUUUAUGGCCAGGCAAGGUGGCUUACACCUGUAAUGCCAGCACUUUGGGAGGCUGAGGCAGGCGGAUCACCUGAGGUCGAGAGUUGGAGACCAGUGUGACCAACAUGGAGAAACCCCAUCUCUACUAAAAAUACAAAAUCAGCUGGGGGUGGUGGCGCAUGCCUGUAAUCCCAGCUACUCGGGAAGCUGAGGCAGGAGAAUCGCUUGAACCGGGGAGGCGGAGGUUGUGGUGAGCCGAGAUUGCACCAUUGCACUCCAGCCUGGCAACAAGGGAUAAACCCCGUCUCAAAAAAAAAAAAAGAAAAAAAAAAAGAAAAAAAUAUUUAUAAUGUAACUAAUAUAGCUAAAAUAAAAUGUAAUUUCAGUCUCAAGCCUUCAUUCUGUUAAGGGGACAGAAACUUAAUCUUGGUCAUCUUGGGGUCUCCCUCCCUGGGGCUGUGCCUGACUUCCAGGGGGCUCGGCGUUGGCAGGAUUUCUGGUGCUUGAGGUCACCUGUCAGCCUGUCUCUUGUCAUUGGCUAUCCGCCGUGCCAUCUGCUCCUGUGUGUCCUUGGCACUGUUCGCAUGUCUCCAGCUCGCUGGCUUUCUCUGCCACCUUGGAGCCACUCCUGGGUGCACAGGAGUCUUACUGCUCCCACGCUGUGCUGGGGCCUGGGAAGACUGCUGUGGCCUACCUGCCUCCGUGUAGCACACACACCCAUUUCUUCUUCUUCUUCUCCUUCUCCUUCUUCAGACAGAGACUCACUCUGUCACCUAGGCUGGACUGCAGUGGUGCCAAAUUGGCUCACUGCAACCUCCGCCUCCCGGGUU